rnacentral:rRNA from 1 species
UCGAGGAUCUUCGGCAAUGUGCGCAAGCACGACCGAGCGACGCCGCGUGGGCGACGAAGGCCUUCGGGUUGUAAAGCCCUGUCGAGGGGGAGAAAGGCGCAAGCUUGAUCUAUCCCUGGAGGAAGCUCGGGCUAAGUUCGUGCCAGCAGCCGCGGUAAGACGAACCGAGCGAACGUUGUUCGGAAUCACUGGGCUUAAAGGGCGCGUAGGCGGGCUGCCAAGUCCGUGGUGAAAUCCUCCGGCCCAACCGGAGAACGGCCUCGGAUACUGGCGGCCUGGAGGGAGGUAGGGGCGAGCGGAACUGUGGGUGGAGCGGUGAAAUGCGUUGAGAUCCACAGGAACUCCGGUGGCGAAGGCGGCUCGCUGGACCUCUCCUGACGCUGAGGCGCGAAAGCCAGGGGAGCGAACGGG